rnacentral:rRNA from 1 species
UACAGAGGGUGCUAGCGUUGUUCGGAAUCAUUGGGCGUAAAGGGCGUGUAGGCGGUUUGUUAAGUCAUGUGUGAAAUCCCUCGGCUCAACCGGGGAACGACGCAUGAAACUGGCAAGCUAGAGUACCAAAGAGGGGGGUGGAAUUCCCGGUGUAGCGGUGAAAUGCGCAGAUAUCGGGAAGAACACCCGUGGCGAAGGCGGCUCUCUGGGACGGUACUGACGCUGAGACGCGAAAGCGUGGGGAGCGAACAGG